UUUUGACUAUGAUGAAGAUAGUGCAUUUGGGCCUCAACACUGGGGAGAUCUGGAUCCGGAUUGGGCAACCUGCCAAGAUGGGAAAAAGCAAUCACCAAUAAAUAUAAAUCAUGAGAUUAUUGAAGUGGAUUCGAGUAUUGGAAGCUUGAUGACAAGUUACAACAGCACUUUUGCAAUUAUGCAAAAUACGGGCCAUUACAUAUUGGUAAGAAGUAGAACAUGAACAAGAAGGGGAAAUAAAAGAACCAGUAAUCUCAUCUUUUUAUUUUCUGUUGCUAAAUAGAAGGGCUAAAGUCCCUCUAAACAUAUUCGUUAAAUCAAUGAAAAGAUAUUACUAUGUUUUACAUUGUUUUUAGGUUUUAUUUUACUCUUUUUUUUAUGAUUUUUUAUAAAAAUUUUGUUCAUAUAAUUUCUUUUUUAUUUUUCUUAUGUGAAUGUAGAUUAACUGGACAGAAGGCGCAACACCUGGUGCAGGAUCUCUUUUGAUUGAUGGCAAGGACUAUGUUCUUCAACAAUGUCAUUGGCACUCACCCUCUGAGCAUAUAUUUUUUUGGUGAGAGGUACCUUUCUAUAACUCCAUCUCCACCCUUUUUUUUGGUAACAUAAAUUUGUUAUAGGGAGGGUGACAUUGUGUGGCCUCGAAAUUGGAUUUAUACAUUUCAAAAAUGCUUUAGUAACUCAAAAAUGUCAUUAAACAAGCCGCUUGGUGCGAUGUAUUCUAAUUGCUCCCUUUGAAUUGCUAUCAUCAACUGUGCCAUUAAAUGAAGCAAGGUGAUUCAGUGAUUGGUAUAAAGCACCUGAAUGACUAUUCUGAGUUACUUUAGCAUCACUCCAUAUGCAUUUUAUAUGUUAAUUAUUUGCUAUCUGAUGUUUUAUUAUUCUUGACCCCAAAAUUGGGCCCGGCCCACCCAUUCGACCUGACACACUGUGUCACUAUGCCUAAGUCCAGCGGAUGGGUCCAACAGGAUGGGCCAAAUUUGCCCAGGUCUAGCCGGCCCACAUUCUACAUGCCUGGAGUAAGCUUUGAGCAAAUAGAAGUUGAAGAACUCUUCAGAACAUGAGUCAAGAAAAAACUUCUAUAAUUAUAUGGCAUCCUAUGAAAAAUAAACCCUUUUCUAGAAUAAGAUAUAUGUUAGCAUGUCGCUUAACUCAAAAUGUGUUUUACAGUUUUCAAGUAACAACACAUCUUGGAGGUGUAAAAACCAAUGAUUUUAGUUAAUGUUACUUUAUUUGAUUUAAUGUAAUAACUCAAGGCCUCAUCUUAAAACUCUUGAGAUGUGCUUUGCCCUUUUCAAGUUACAACAUGCCUUAGAGGCUUAAGACUAUGGAUUUCAAUUAACAAUGCUUUUUUUGAUUUAGUAUAACAUUAAUCCGGGAUCUCAUCUAAAAAGGACUAGCUAAAAGGUAGUCAAGAUCUCUCAAACAAUACUCUCUCCAUUUGGUCCAAAUCUAAUCAAUUCAAUUUAUAAACACCAGACCAUGAUAGCCCUAUUGUCAUCUCAAAAAGGGCCCAUAUUAUAAUAUCCCCUAGUCCAUAUAGACAGUGGGCUAGGUUAGCUUUGAUGGCCUCACCUAAAAACGAUUAGCCAAAAUGCAUUAUUUGGUUUCCUGGUUUUGUAUUAGUAUCUAAUAUCUUCCUAGCACACAAGUAAUAUAGAUUGAAUACAAUACUCAUAUAGGUAGGAUUUGAGUUCCUUCUUUGUAUAAGUAUUCAAGAUCUUUUCAACAUAUAACUAAUGUAGAAUGAAAUACAUGCUCGCGUGGAACCUCAAUCAAAGAACCGAAAUAAUACCAUUUGUCUAACCUUUUUCGGAUAAGGUUCGGAGUUGUUAUAAUUUGUAUCAGAGUGGACCAGUCAUACAAUCUAUGUAUGAUUGUGGUAAAGAUGUCUGCGCUUAAACAGGGGAGAACCUGUGUGGACAUGUAUUUACUUGUAUAAUAGUUACGAGCUCUAAAGAUUUUGAUAUUCAUUUAGAGCCAAGGAACUCAAAUAAUAUAUUUCAGAUAGCUUUGUCAGGAUAAGAUCCGUUGUUAUUAAAAUUUUAUAUUUUAUAUUUGUAAAACUCAGCUUCAAAGAGUGAAAAAAUAUGAAACAUGGAUGCGCAGAUGCUUGGACACACAUUAAUACUUUGCUCAUAUUUUAAUGGAAAAUGCUGCAUUAUUCUCUUCCUUCCCUCUGUAGACCAUCCUAGAGAAACUGGUUCCAAGAGAUCAUCCCAACAGAUUUCAAGAUAUUAUCCCUCUCAUAGCACAUCUCACGUAUUUUGGAAGUCAAUUUCCAGCCUCUUACCUUUCGGUGUUUGUAACCUAAGCCAUAAAUAUGUACUUGUAGGUAUCCUCUGGAGUUGCAUAUGGUCCACAUGAAUUCAGAUGGAAGCAUAGCUGUCAUUGGCAUCUUGUACCAACAUGGCUCUCCUGAUCCGUUCCUUUCAAAGGUUUGACAUCAAAAGAACGUACCUUCUUUUACCUUUUCCUCUUCACUCCAACUUAAGCAGGCUAAUCUUUAUUGGCUCAGCUGCGGAACUACUUGGAGUAUCUGAUACGGGAGCAAAAAGAUGAGGUUGUCGUGGGAUAUUUACCUCCACCACCAAUAGAGAAUCGAGCUCCUUAUUAUAGAUACUCUGGCUCUCUAACCACUCCACCCUGCACUGAAAAUGUUACUUGGAUCCUACUACGAGAGGUUUGCAUCAUCUUUAACUUACCUAUUAUGCUUGCCUCCUUUGCUAAGCUCUGCCUCUUUAUCAAUCAAUUCAUUGUGGUUUUAGGUGAGGCCCGUAUCAGAAGGACAAGUAGACCUGCUAAGGGCUGCUUUACAUUAUGUAAGUUGGCUGAUUGAGAAUUAUCAUAUUCAAUGCAAUGCAAUUACAUUAGAUUACUUAAAUAUCUUUGUAGCUUGCUGAUGGCCGACGAAAUGGUCUAUUUUGUGUUCAAUUACCUUUCUGCAGAAGGACAAUGCAAGACCAAUUCAACCAAUCAACGGACGCAAGGUCUACUUGUACAAACCAUGGAUACACGAAGAUCAUGCGAGUCCUAUUGCUACAUAAUUACUUUGAUGGGAAAAUCUUAUUCCAAACAGCAAAUAAAAUAACCAAGAGUUUAGCAUACUUUGUUGCUCUGCUUUUAAAAUCUGAAAUAAGGUGUUGUGGCCCUACGUUGAAGGCCAGCCGCUUAAAUAAACAUUUCAGUCCAUGGUACAUAGUGAUCGUAAUGCAAUGUAUUCUCUUUUCUUGUAUCAGCUAUUUCUUUCUUGUGCACUAGUUUGUAACCUUGGAUACCAUCAGAACGAUCGUUAUUUGCUGUAUGAUAAAUGAUUUGCUAUUUGGUGAAGAAUGACUUGCACAAACGAUGUCAACAUAUUUUACUAGUUAUAAUGCACAUGUCUAUGUACGUGUGUAUCAAAUAAAAUAUCAUAAUAAUUUCGUGUAUAAAUUAUUAUGUUGAAAAUCCAUUUAUUGCUAAUGGCACAUACAAAGACAGAAAACCUAAUUUGAUGCGGACUUGAAAAAUAGUACUUGAGAUAGAAAGGCUAGGAGGAAUGAUAAAAUUAUAUAUAGCCUCGACUUAUAUCUAGUCUGACCUGAUCCGAUUGCCACCUCUAGGACUCAAUUGCUACCAAGUCAAUAGCACCCAUCUCCUUCUGCAACAUCAAUAAAAGAAAUUAUGUGAUUUGUGGGCGCCCUAUUGUAUUGCUCUUUAGAUUAACGAAACCUAUACAUGCUGGCCGAUUAAGCCUAGAAAAUAUUACAGAUAAAAAUGUUCCAAUUAGAGAUCUUCUGAAAAAAAGUAGUGAGGUUAUAAAUCAUAAUCUGGAGGAUGAAAUAAUCAUAACCGAUCAUGAUCUGGCUGACAAAAACUAGAUCGGAUCAGAUACCUUGCCAAAGGCAAUGAUGAUCCUGGAGGAGUCUAUUUAAAUUAGAGGUAAGAUGGACACAGGUUUGUGACUUUCUUUGCAUGUGCCUACCACUAUCAUAGAGCAAAUACCGAUUCCUGUUAUCACUUGCAAUGCAAAUGCUGAAUCUAUUCAUCACGUGUUUGUCACCUGCCCAUUCUCAAUGGAAGUUUGGAAUGCUGUCAGCUUUUGCCUGAAUGCAUCGGUUCCUCCACCCAGGCUGGACUUCUCAUAUCAAAACCGGACUUCACAGUCCUUUCCGGAGGACCAACAGCAAAUCAUCCUCAUGUUCAUCUCCUCUUUUUCAUGGGCCUCGUGGAAAGAAAGAAAUUCUAGGAUUUUCUCGAGGAAAUCUUCUAUACCUGUUUCAGUUGCUCAGAAUGGUCUCAACAUGCUCAAAGAUUGGUCCGUCCUUUAUCAGAGCAAACACCUCAAAGUUUGGACAAAAAUCAAGAACAUCAGCACUAUCUUAAAGGAUUCAUGGUUCCAUAUACAGCUUACUACUUGAAAAAUCCAUCCCUAGCUGUUUGAAGUGGCUGAUCCUCUUUGUUUUUCCUGCAGAGCCUUGAGUUUUCACAACAAGAGAGUGUUCAUCACCUCUCUGGUCUUUCACUACUCUAUCCCUUGGAUGGACCUCUCUUCUCCAUGAGCCUGCUGCUACUUAUUUCUUUUGUUGAUUGUGAGACAACAUUGUUAAAGAAUCACUUUGCCCUAUUCUCUUAUAUAUAGUGCUACGUAAAUAACUUCUUUCAGUAAAAAAUUUGGAUGGCUCUUUUUUAGCCUCCCUUAUCAUCAAAAAAAAAGAAAAAGUUAAAACUUGUUGCAAUCUCAAUUUUACCAUAUUCGCUGAGAAUUUAAUAUCUUGGUGCCUAUAUGUCAACUGAAAUCUUGGAAACUCUUAGUUCUUCCUAAAAUUUCUGCACCUUCUAUUGCUGUUGAGAUAAACACAGAUCUAUGUACAUGACAAUUGAUACGUAUUAAAUUUCUGAUAUCAGCUUGAUAUUACCAUGACCUUCAAUCCCAUUUAAGAAUACAUCCUUGAACUUUGGCUAACUCUUUGGGAAAGAGUUUUAAUGAAAAUGAUGGAAAAAAUAUUGGACACCUCGACCUCAGGCUAUACUGACCUCGACAACCUCGGCCUCGACCGAAGAGAGCAACUUCGGUCCCGAUUGAGGAGCUAACCGAUCAAAGUGAGCAACUUCGUCUCUGACUGAGGAGUCCAUUCAACACGUGCCAUCAGGGACUGACAGUCCUAACAACCGAUGGCCUUGGCAGCCCGUAGUCAUGACAGCACUAUAGUCUGCACCCAACUAGCACUAAGAAUAACUGGAAUUGAACGAGCAAACGGAGGCUGAAAGCAUGCCGUCCACACGGACUAGCUUUCACGCUGCGGCUGUACCAUCGGCCAUUGCCUGGCCGUCUUUGUUCUUCACAUCAGUCCAGAUAACGAAAAAAUACUCUCUUAUAUAAAGGGGCAACUCGAGAGAUCUCAGGAAUGAGGUAGAAAGCCUCUUUUUUAAUGACUCUGUCAAAGUAACAAGACCAUUAUUUCUGACUUUUUGAAGGGGUCCGACCUAAAUCGACUAUCACCCUCGCUUUCCUCAUCUUUGCUUAUGGUGCCGUCUUUUGAAUUAGAAGAAAUGCCAUGCGUUUGAUAACAUAUUACUAUGGAAGUCGAAGAGGGGCAGCUCCUCUUAGACUUCUCAACAGGUAGUCACCCUCAGAAAAGAAAAGGGAAAACAUGCCAAUUUAACAUUUGUGACAUCAAUUGGGGCCUUUGGAUCUAUGAUUUCAAUGAUUUAUAUGUAAGACUAUCAAAAGUUGUGAUGUCUUUCAAAUUUUUGAGUAUAAAAUAACCUCCUAAAUAUUGGAAUUUGCAUGAAUUCCUUUCCAAAAUUGAUAUUUGCAUGUAUACUAUUAUAUAAUACUUGUUUUGCAUGUAUAUCCUUCUGAUCCUUUUCUUUUUUGUAUUUGCACCCACAUCAUCUAAUGCCAUUAAAAAAUUUGUAGUUUAAAAUUGAAAUGACUGAAGUACCUUUAAUGGAUAAAUAUGAAGAAAAAAAUAUUUAUAAGGGUGUAUAUACAAAUAAAAAUUUUAUGAGGGUGUUCAUACAAUUUCACAUAUUUAGGAGGGUAUACACGCCAUAAAAUUCUUAGAUUUUUUUACAUGAAUAUCCUCCUAAAUAUUAAAAUUUGCAUGAAUACCUUCCCAAAAUUAAUAUUAGCAUGGACACUUUGACAUAACAGUUUAGUUGAUAUAAUUAGACAAAAUCAUAUCUAUCUAAAUUAUAAAUUAAUUAAAUUAUGAAAUUACCGCAAAAGUAGGUAACAGGUUAAUGGGUCUUGUUGAGAACUUACCAAUUCCAUUGAACUUCCUAUCUUUGCACGCGAUCGCUCUCUUCCGCUUAAGAUCGCCCUAAUCCCUCUACCUUCUUUGUAAAAUUUUGCAAUCUCUUUCGAUCCCUCUCUUUCACUCUUCCAUCUAGAAUCAAAACCUUUUUCUUGACUCCCUUUACCAUCAACAACCCUUCUCUAUUGACCCCUCUUUUUUUUCUUUUAGUGUGUGAGAUUUGUAAUAUUUAUCUUUUAGAACCAAAAAACUUCUUGUGUGCAAGUAGGUGGCUGAUUUAAAAUUAUUGUAAUAAAAUGAGUCUCAUAGGUCUUUUUCUUCUUUCUGAAAAUCGAAGCUCCAAACAAAAAUAGCUUAAGCAUAAGGGGUGGCCUUUUAUCAUAUGAGUGCAGAGGUUGUUAGUUUGAAGGAUUUUGAAGUCCUUCAAUGGCUUUGCUCGGGGACGAUUAAUAUUUUUCUUCAACCCAUAAGGACAGCAGUAGUAAGAAAGCUUGAUUAUUGCAAUCUAUUGUGUGCCUUUAAGAGAUUCUAAUCUAUUUCUAUAUUCUGAUUUAUACCAUCACAGAUGCAUCUAUAACAAUAAAUAUUACAAGUUGAUUUUCGAUUAAAUGAGACAUAAUGGUUAUUGUAAAUGAUUUAUGGUAUAAAAUACAAUCAUUCGGACAACUGUGUAUGUUCUCGUGUCCAAGAUCCAAUUCGUUUACUAGUUUCUUGGCUUUAUAAGAAGAUGACGGCAAAGUAACACCUUCCGAAAAUGCAUUCUUUAAUAAUUGAAGUGGCAUAGUGAAAGACUUGCUAGACCACCCAUUCAAAUAUUUUAAAUAAAAUAAAUGCAUAAAAAAAGAAAUCUUCAACAAAUUCUUUCCAUGCGGAUAUAGUUUUUGAUCUCAAUCUUUCAUCAAGUUAUGAUACCGAGUUAUGUCAUCAUUAGAUGAAUGUAUAGAUUCCUCAGCAUGCAUACAAUUAGUAAAUGUACACUCAUCACCUAUUGUACCUGCUUCUUGUUCUCCACUGAAAUCUACUAUAUUUUCUAUACCAUGUCCAAGAGCAUAUCUGAGUAAGGCCCUUAUAUCAUCUUCUCCUACAGAAUUUCUUUCCAUGUUACUGGAUCCAAAACUAGAGGUGUUUCUAUAUAGGAGGCUUGGUUACAUGGAGAUGGCAAUAUGGACUCUCCAUGAAAAAUCCAUUCAAUAUAACCCUUUAGAAAACUAUUUCACACCAAAUGUUCUUCAACAGUUUUUGGAGCGAAAGAAGAACAAUUUAUACAUUUUCAACAUGGACAUAAAAUCUUUUCGUUCAUAUUAGAUUUCUCAAAAGCAAAUUUAAUAAAAUUCUGAACUCCAUUCGAAUAUUCUUUGCUGGAUCUCAACUUAUUUAUCCAACUUUGGUCCAUUUUAUUAGAAUACUGAUUGUAUUGCAACUUAUUUACAAAAGAUAAACGAAAUUAAAUAUUUAAUAUUACAUUCCAAAUGAACAACUGGUCUUCUAAGAUAUGAAGGCAGCAAAAGCAUUACCAGAUCCUACAAUACAUGACCUAGACUUGUUUAGUGGUGGAUCCAUGGUGAGAUUGCUCAAGGUAGAAGGUGGACUCAACAUCUCAAAAAAGUUUCACCCUUAGCUAAGCCUACUUGGGAAUCAUGCUGAGAAUACUUCAGAGAUAAUCAAGUUUAUUCCUCUUCAAUAAUAUAUCUAAGAAAGGUCUCUUCUCUAGAUUAUCUUAUUACUCUUCUUAAACAACAUAUUCAUUCAAUUUUGGCAAACAAAAUUAUUAAUCAGGUUUUCUAGCUAUUUUUUUAGAGGGGAAUACGAGCAAUCUAGACAAUUUUCUAUUUUUUUCCAAGAAAUCUCUCCUCAGCGUAUGCGUUGAGGAGAAUGGUGCAAGCCGGCCGAACCAUAUUGCAUCGCACGUAUAAGACCCGAGCAAUGGACUAAUGCGGCAAUCUCAAAUUAAAUGGCUGCUAGUCUCUUUUCAUAAGAUCAGGAUUGUGUUGAGGGCAAGAUUUGUGAAUGAGAAGACCGGAAUACUUUUAAAAAUCUGAAUUGGUGAGCACAUCAAAUCCAGCAAAUGCAUGUGCAACCCAGCAAGAUUCAUCAAGCACACCAAGUGUUAGAUAUCUAGGGGAAGCAGCAACCAUUGUUAAAAUCCAUGCACGAUUUAAGUAAAACUAAAUAUUUGAUCAGUAUUAAAAGCAACAGUCGUUAUUAAAUCAAGUUCCGUGGGGAUGCGAUUAGCAAAAAUUCAACUUUGGUAAACAAAAAUUAUUAAUCCAGAAUUAGAGAGGAAAAUCAUGCAAUGAUAUAAACGAGGCCGCAAUUAAUUUAUAGAGGAGUGGGUUACCUAAGAUCUGUGGGCUGGCUUUCUUUCUCGUCAAUGGAGGAUGACAGUCGGCUAGAGUUUGGAAGAAGACAGUGGAACGGCGGUGGCUAUAGGCAGGGAAGGAGGAUGGAGAAAGAGGAGGAGGAUGCAGCUAUGCUCCGAUAGUGGGUUCUCUGGAGACGGAGGCCGGAGAAGGAGGGGGAGGAUGCAACUAUGCUGGUGGAGGACUCUCUGGAGGAGGAGGAGGAUGAAGCUUUGGGGGAUUACUCUCGGGAGGAGGAGAAGAAGAAGAAGGAGGAGGAUGAGUAGGGCUCGUCGAUUUGGGGCUCCGCUCUCUGGGGUUAGGGAUUUGGGGGGCUUUCGAGGAUUUAUAUCCAUCGUCUUGUUCUUGCUCUUGGAUUCCGAUGGUGUUUAAUUGCGCCGUCUAAUACCACCGACACUUCUGUGUUCUGGCUUUAGCUUCCGAGGAUGCUUACCAAAAAAAAAAAAUUGUCAAAAUUUUGUGCUAUAUCAUCGACGCUUUCAAGGGUCGUAAUAUUUCGAUGCUAUUAAAAAGUAUUGAUAAAUUUUGGCAUAGUAGCUAAAUCAUCGACGCUUUUUUCUAACAUUGUCGGGUUAGAGUCGCCAUAUCCUAUUACUUUUGAUUUUGGGAUGAUUAUCCUAUUACUAAAUGUCCCCAUAUUGUAAAUGUGUGUGUACAUAUAUAUUGUGUAUGUUUCUAUGUGAAAAAUGUAUGACCAUUGGAAUCUAUAGAAAAUUUGCCUUAUAUCUUAGAUCUUGGGUGAAAGAAUAAAAUAGAUGAACAAAAACACUUUACAACUUUCCAUUAAAAUAUAAUGGGUCCUUGCCUUAAAAGCUUGGAACAUAUGGGUAAAUUAAUUAGAUUUUAUUUUAUUUACCCAUAGCAGCUUUAAGCAGCAUUGUAUUUGAGUCCUCCCAAUCUUCGCAAAUGGUAUUGCCCAAUCAUAGUAGCCUGCUAGGUUUAGUCAUUAUAAUGGAUGAACUAUAUUUGCGAAAAAACAACAGAGAGCAGUAACAAAAAUAAUGGUUUCAUUUAAUUAAAUUUCUUUUCACAUGUUAUAAUAUCACUUGUUAUUGUCGUUGUGGACAUCAUCAUCAAUGUGGUGGGUUUAAAGAUUAGUUCAAGAAGAUUGAGUUUUAUUCUUUUUAAUAUGUCAUUAUCAUGAAUAAGAAAGUUGGAAAGGUUAAUUUAGGCUCCAAUAAAUUUCUGUCAUUAGGCACUUAUGGUUAUUAGAUUUAGUUGGUAUGAUCAUGGCUAUCCAAACCCUUCCCACGUAACAUCUUUUCUUGAGGAUGUGAAAAGGUCUGCAAACCUUGUUUGGCGCAACCAUAGUUUAUUCUUUGAUAUCAAACAACAUAUUGCUUAAUAGGAUGAUUUGGAUAAUAAUAUCCCCAAAUUUGUCUAGCAAUAAGACUAACAGACAAUAGCUACAGCAAUAUUCCAACCUUUCCUAGUUCUUCUAGAAAUAGGAGUCUUUCAAAGGAUCAAUAUCAAAGCAAGAACUAGAGAGGGAGCAAAAUUUCAAAGCCCAAAAAAUGGUUCAUUGUCUAGUUAGAAAAAAUUAAAAAAAAACUGAUCAUGGCCCAAGCUUGGGUAUAGAAAAUGUUAAAUUUUAUAUAAGCCCAAUAAGAAAUUUGAUUUAAAAUAAAUAGAGUUUAGGUCCAAAGCCCUGUUUAUGAUCAGCUCUAUUAGAACCGGAUCUGCAAAAUGCACAAGGGACAAGCAGUCACCAUUAUUAAUUUUGUUUCGUUCUCUCAAUGAAAUGAACCUUGUGGGAUUUAAUCACUUCAAUUAAUUUUUUUAUUGUUCUCGAGAAUAAUGGCGACGAAGGUCAUCAUCAUGUCAUGACAAACAUGAAAUGAUAAGUACUAAGUUCUAAUGUAAAGUUAGGCCAGAACUAUAAAAGUUCUUGUGCGCUUUCUUAGACUAGGCACGACAACAGUAGAUUAAAAAUUUAUCAAUCCAAAUUUAAUUUACUUAUUAAAUAAUUAAUAAUUCAGAAUUUAUAUUUGAUGUUUUUAUUAAAUAGAUAACAUAAUCCAACCAACUAUAUAUUGAAUUAUUUAUAUAGAUUAAAUGAGUUAUGCAUUGACAUCCUUAUCUUAGGCCUACCAAACUCCAGCAAUGAUUGAGAACAGGCCACUGCCCCCAACAACCUAGUUUGCCUUACCAACCCACUAAAUAGCUAGCACACUCUUCAUCAAUUUUUUUUACAUUAAUAUUAAAAUCUUUUCCCUUCCGUACAUAGGCCAUAUGUUAUGUACUUGCAAUUAUCUUCUUUCUUCUUUCCAAGCCAAAAUUAAAAUGGAAUUUAAAUGUCCACUUGCAUCCUUGUAAGAUUGUACAAGAUUAGAUUAUGUGGUGAAUUAAAGCAAGCUUGAAAUCAUGCUAGAAGAUUUCAUGGUAGAUUAGAGGAGCUUUCUCUGUUUUAUUAGAGCAAUAAGGCAAGCAGGCGUGAUUUGCGUGGCAUUCACGCAAACAACUUGGACUAACUUUUUGCUCACUUUAUUGGUUACGUACUUGCAAUUAUCUUCUUUCUUCUCCCAAAUUAAAAUAGUAUUUAAACGUCCAUUUCAUCCUUGUAAGAUUGUACAAGAUUAGAUUAUAUGGUGGAUUAAAGCAAGCUUAAAAUCGUGAUAGAAGAGUAUAUGGUAGAUUAGAGGAGCUUCCUCUAUUUUAUUGGAGCAAUAAGGAAAGCAGGCGUGCUUUGCAUGGCAUUCAUGCAGGCCGCUUGGACAAACUUUCUACUCACUUUUGUUCGCCUUUUUUACAUGCAAUCAGAUAUUUUCAUCUCUCACUCUAAGAAAAAUCCAAAUUUUUAAAUAUGAUACACUACCUUUAAACUGUUUACAAUUAUUAAAUUUUAUAAUUGGAAAGCUCCUAAUCUAUAUAUCAAAUGAUCUAAAACGCAUAAUUUAAAUAACAUAAAACAAUAUCCAUUUUUACAUACUUGAUGCAUGAGUUUGGAAUCUCCAAAUUAUAUAAUUUUUGUGAUUCAAAUAAUUUAGAGAUAAUAGAUGAUUUUAAAUCAUUCGAAACAUCAAUAUUGGAACCCCAUCUUCUGAUUUAAUCUGAGUGAUCUGACUUCAAAAUUUGGCCGAUCAAAUCCUGAUCUAUGUUAUUUGUACAUAUAUAGCAUCAAGGAGUGCUCAAGCAAUAUAAACCAACAUAUUGCCUAAAAUAUUAUCUUAGAUGAGAACUAAGAUAUCAGCAAAAUCUUAUCAGCACUCUACGUCUCCAUCUCUAUUGUCUUCUCUGUUUUGGUUGUGUUGUAAGUUGUAAUAUACCGUCUAUGUAACUUUCUUCUUUUAGUCAAGCUGCAAAUCCUUUUCUUCCACCAAAAAAAAGAGACAUAAUUUAACAUGCAUAUUUUCGUAAAUAUAGCAUUAUCGUAGUAAAGAGCAAUAAAUGAGAUAUGAUGACCAUGUGCAUUGCAUCCAACUUGGGGAUCCAAUAAAGGACAAAGAAUAGUUCCGGUCUCCAAAACGGACUGUUCAACUAAGGCACAGAUGGAAUGUCCCAUGUAAAACACGUUCACUACGAGUUAGGGUUUUGAAAUGAAAAUAAUAACGAAUAACUCUCAUUUCAACUAUUUAUUUUAAUAUUAAUUUUAAAAGAGAAUUGGAAUGUUUUAAUUUUUUAAAAUUUAAUUCCAACUCGAUCUCAAUAUUUAAAUUUUAUUAUGAUCUCAAUUCUAAUUUUGAUUCGUAAGGGGAUAUGGCUAUUCUUAUUUUCAUUCUAAUUCAUUUCGGUUUUAGUUUCAACCAAAUAUGCCUGAAAGUUUUGUGAUUAUAAUUUCCUAAAUAUAUUUAAUUACAAGCCAUUCGUUUAUGUGGUAGUCUUAAAAAGACUGGAAUAAUUCUCCAAUCCCCAUAAUGAUGGCAGUAGAACCUGAACGUUGCUUGAUAUCCCAUCAUGUGGCUUCAUGAUGAUAACAAGUUCAUACGGACGAAUAAUCUACUACUCAUUUGUGUCGCGUGGCUAAUCAACUAGGUCAGAUGGAGUCAGGACAGUUUGAAAAGAUGCUUGCUUAUCCCCAAUGAUAAAAUCAAUUUCUUACUCGUUUUCGACCAUGUUCGUCUCGUCUUUGGGCAGAGGCACGCAUAUUGAAGAGACUAGCAUGUGGCAUCAAUUUUAAUUUUUAUAUUUUAGAAAUAAAAAAUUAUUUUCAUUUUAUUUUUAAAUUUUAAAGUCAUCUUUGGCAUAGCCAACUAUUUUUAAAAUUAUAUGUAUGAUGGUGAUAAUGAUAAUGGCCAAGAUAUUAGUAACAGUGGUGAUGACGAAAAUAAUAGAGAUGAUAGAGAUAGUGGUAGUGACCGUGAAUGUGUGAUACAAGUAAGAAAUUAUGUUUAAGGUUUAGCUCCAAACCGAUCCGACCCAAUCUAUGCAUAUGCUUAAGUAUUAUAAUCUGAUAUGGAUUUAUUUUUUUAUACCAGAUUAGCCCAAAUCAAAUAAACUUUUAGCAUCUUAACUAUUUUUUUAAUAUAUAAAAUUUAUAGAUAAACUAUAUUUCUACCUAAAUGUUAUCCAAAAAAAUAAUUAAUCAGGAAAGUACAGUUCAGCACCCAUGCUUGCUGAUAAGGUCGAAACCUAAAAGGCCGGCAAUUUAUUCAGAAAAGGACAAAAAUAUUGAAAAUAACAAGUACCAAGAAAGGUCUUUAGUGCAAUGUUACAGCCCGCGUGCUCAGCAUGGUAGCCGUCGCGAGCCUCUACAAUGUGUACGAUAGUUGACUAACUCUGCACCACCCGUGUUCAUCAAUUUUCGCAUGGUGUUAUUUCUCUCUAUAAGAACGAUCCCAAGACUCCACAAAGCCAACCAGAGAUCCUAAGACGUUUGGGCUGGCCAUCCACUCAUAAACUCUUAGAGAUGAGGAAUCCGGGGACGCCUUUCAAUUUCUUACUAUGUGCUCUCCUUUCCCUGCUCAUCCUCCAAUCGAGUUUCUCGGCAUCUCACAUAGUUGGUAAGUGUUUCCUUGGGAAAUGUUGAUUUUAAGAUAACACUUAGCUAGUCAAUUGGUUGCAUAUAAUUUGAUCCCUAAAAUAUGAUGACAAGUUUGUACUAGUAAUAGCUCAAACUAGCCACCAAGAUGGUAGCCUGGUGGUAAGGAGGCUGGGACUCCACCCAAGUUGUCCGGGUUCAAAACGCGCACGAUUAAAUUAGGAGGCCGCAUGCCCCACGUCCGGAUGACUCUGUGUGAAUAUGCUUUCCUUCCAUCAGUACUGAGGUGGCGCUAGGGUGACGUACUCACACGUAGAUCCCACGGGUUAGGAAGGGUACGCGGAAACUUACGGUCUGCAUCGAACAUUUUCUGGUGAAAGGGGAACCCAGUAGGGGCUGCUACGCGAGUAGUGUUCUACCGCUGCCCCUCCCCUCCUAUUUUUUUCCAAAAAAAAAAAAACUAAGACUCAAAGCAAAUCUGGAUUGGACAAUUCAGACUAGGCUAACAUCUAAUCAUCUUCAUUAAUAUAAUAAAGACUUACAUGCUUGGUAGUUGGUUGCCAUGUAAUCUCAUUAUUAUUUUUUUUUUCAAAUUUUUAUAUUAAUUUAUUCUCUUGUUCUGUAAAGAUAAAUUUUCUCAAACUAUCUUUUCCUUGGAAUUUAAAAAUACAACUUUGAGAAAAAGAGGAAUUCAUUAAUGCUAUUACCUGGGAAUAAUGAAGGGGCACCAACAAAUCAUUUCUAUGAACGAAAUGGUAGCAUGAUUGUGCAUGUUAAGAAAUUGGAGCAGCACAUCACUGGGUUUGAGCUCCGAGUGUCAUCCAAAUGAAGUUCAAAUCUUCUACAAACCUGAUAGUAGGUAAUUCCCGCAUUCGAAAUUUGUGGUAGAUUUUUAUGGAACACAACCCCAAACAGUACUACAGACAAGCAUGCAAGGUGUGCUCAGUUCCCUAUACACCCCACCACCAACAGUCAGAUAACAAAAUAGUCCUUUUUGCCAAAGUUAUAAGAUAAUAUUUCAGUCUUUGUUAAAGAUGUCUACAGUUAUAUUCACUUAGCAUCAAAUUAUAGACAAUCUUAUGCUAGACACCUUAAUUGUAGGGAACUCAUUAAUUUUGUCUUCUCUGUGGCAGGAGCCGAGAAGUAUUUUGACUAUGAUGAAAAUAGUGAAUUUGGGCCUCAACACUGGGGAGAUCUGGAUCCGGAUUGGGCAACUUGUAAAGAUGGAAAAAGCCAAUCACCAAUAAAUAUAACUCAUAAGAAUAUUGAAGUGAAUUUGAGUCUGGGAAGCUUGAUGACAAGUUACCACAGCACUUUUGCAAUUAUGCAAAAUAGGGGCUAUGACAUAAUGGUAAGAAGAAGAACAUGAACAAGAAGGGGAAAUAAAAGAACCAGUAAUCUCUUUUCUUUUUGUUUUCUUUUGAUAAAUUGAAGGGCUAAAGUCGCUCUAAACCUAUUUGUUAAAUCAAUGAGAAGAUAUUACUAUGUUUUAUAUUGUUUUUUGGUUUUAUUUUACACUUCUUUCUAUGAUUUUUUAUAAAAAUUUUGUUCAUAUAAUUUCUUUUUUAUUUUUCUUAU
rnacentral:lncRNA from 1 species